rnacentral:rRNA from 1 species
GGUUCUUCGGAACCAGAGACCGGCGCACGGGUGCGUAACGCGUAUGCAAUCUACCUUUUACAGAGGGAUAGCCCAGAGAAAUUUGGAUUAAUACCUCAUAGUAUAGCUCUACCGCAUGGUAGUACUAUUAAAGUCACAACGGUAAAAGAUGAGCAUGCGUCCCAUUAGCUAGUUGGUAAGGUAACGGCUUACCAAGGCUACGAUGGGUAGGGGUCCUGAGAGGGAGAUCCCCCACACUGGUACUGAGACACGGACCAGACUCCUACGGGAGGCAGCAGUGAGGAAUAUUGGACAAUGGGCGCAAGCCUGAUCCAGCCAUGCCGCGUGCAGGAUGACGGUCCUAUGGAUUGUAAACUGCUUUUAUACGAGAAGAAACACUCCUUCGUGAAUGAGCUUGACGGUAUCGUAAGAAUAAGGAUCGGCUAACUCCGUGCCAGCAGCCGCGGUAAUACGGAGGAUCCAAGCGUUAUCCGGAAUCAUUGGGUUUAAAGGGUCCGUAGGCGGUUUGGUAAGUCAGUGGUGAAAGCCCAUCGCUCAACGGUGGAACGGCCAUUGAUACUGCCAGACUUGAAUUAUUAGGAAGUAACUAGAAUAUGUAGUGUAGCGGUGAAAUGCUUAGAGAUUACAUGGAAUACCAAUUGCGAAGGCAGGUUACUACUAAUUGAUUGACGCUGAUGGACGAAAGCGUGGGUAGCGAACAGGAUUAGAUACCCUGGUAGUCCACGCCGUAAACGAUGGAUACUAGCUGUUGGGAGCAAUCUCAGUGGCUAAGCGAAAGUGAUAAGUAUCCCACCUGGGGAGUACGUUCGCAAGAAUGAAACUCAAAGGAAUUGACGGGGGCCCGCACAAGCGGUGGAGCAUGUGGUUUAAUUCGAUGAUACGCGAGGAACCUUACCAAGGCUUAAAUGUAGAUUGACCGUUUUGGAAACAGAACUUUCGCAAGACAAUUUACAAGGUGCUGCAUGGUUGUCGUCAGCUCNNGCCGUGAGGUGUCAGGUUAAGUCCUAUAACGAGCGCAACCCCUUGUUGUUAGUUGCCAGCCGAGUCAAGUCGGGGAACUCUAACAAAGACUGGCCA